AUGGAGAGAAUGACGUACUCCUACUUCAAGGAGAUCUUUACUAAGGACCCAACCCUAUCUCCGGAUGUGGUCCUUGACUGUAUACUGCCUAAAGUCUCAAUGGAGAUGAAUGAGUCACUAUGUAGGCCUUAUACCGAGGAGGAAAUCUCGGACGCCCUGUUCCAGUUCGGGCCUCUCAAAGCCCCGGGCUGUGAUGACCUCCCUGCCAGAUUUUACCAGCGUAACUGGGGACUAUUGAAAACGGAGAUUGUUGCGGUAGUCCAAGAGUUCUAUGUAUUGGAUGUGAUGCCUGAUGGGGUUAAUGACAUAGCUAUAGUUCUUAUUCCCAAAGUUCCCCAUCCUCAGGAACUGAAAGAUUUCCGGCCUAUCAGCUUGUGUAAUGUGCUAUAUAAAGUUGUCUCAAAGUGUAUGGUGAACAGACUUCGGCCUCUCCUGUCAGAACUUAUUUUUGAAAAUCAGAGCGCUUUCAUACCAGGACGGUUGAUCUCUGACAAUUCGAUUAUUGCUUUCGAAUGCAUCCACCAUAUACAAUCUGUAAGGCACUCUGUUCCCGGGUUGUGUGCGUAUAAACUUGACCUGUCGAAGGCCUACGAUCGUGUGGACUGGGAUUUUUUGGAGAGGGCUUUGGCUAAAUGGGGCUUCUCUCCGGUUUGGAUCUCCCAUGUCAUGGCGUGUGUUUCAUCUGUGAAGUAUUCGAUGAAGUUUAAUGUGAAGCUAUUGGAUUCUUUCUCUCCCUCAAGGGGACUCCGUCAAGGUGACCCGUUAUCACCCUUUCUCUUCUUGUUUGUUGCUAAUGCUCUAUCUUCCUUGAUUCACAAGGCUACGCAACAAGAUGGUCUCGAAGGAAUAAGAAUAUGCAGGGGGGCACCGGAAAUUUCCCACCUUAUGUGUGCGGAUGAUUCCCUACUGUUCUUCCAGGCAACAGAGCAGCAGGCACUGUUGGUGAAAGGUUUGUUGAACAUGUUUGCGACGGCGACUGGCCAACUGAUUAACCCAUCCAAAUGUUCCAUCCUCUUCUCAAACCAGUGCCCACCAAAUGUUGCAUUGCAAUUAAAGAAUAUUCUGGAAGUCACUCAGGAAGCUUUCGAACCCAAAUAUUUGGGUUUGUCGAUCCCCGAAGGUAGGAUGCACAAGGGGAAGUUUGAGUCAGUACAAGAACGGCUGAGAAAAGUUCUUGUCGACUGGAGUGAGCAAUACAUGUCUUCUGGCAACAAAGAGGUUCUGAUUAAGUCGGUAGCUCAAGCCAUUCCGACCUAUGUCAUGAGUAUUUUCAAAAUUCCCUAUUCAGUGUGUGAUGAUCUGACUCGUAUGAUACGCCAAUACUUGUGGGGGUGGAGAACGACAAAAGGAAAAUGGCCUGGCUGA
rnacentral:rRNA from 1 species